AUUGAACGCUGGCGGCAUGCCUUACACAUGCAAGUCGAACGGCAGCAUGAUCUAGCUUGCUAGAUUGAUGGCGAGUGGCGAACGGGUGAGUAAUACAUCGGAACGUGCCCUGUAGUGGGGGAUAUCUAGUCGAAAGAUUAGCUAAUACCGCAUACGACCUGAGGGUGAAAGUGGGGGACCGCAAGGCCUCAUGCUAUAGGAGCGGCCGAUGUCUGAUUAGCUAGUUGGUGAGGUAAAGGCUCACCAAGGCGACGAUCAGUAGCUGGUCUGAGAGGACGAUCAGCCACACUGGGACUGAGACACGGCCCAGACUCCUACGGGAGGCAGCAGUGGGGAAUUUUGGACAAUGGGCGAAAGCCUGAUCCAGCAAUGCCGCGUGUGUGAAGAAGGCCUUCGGGUUGUAAAGCACUUUUGUCCGGAAAGAAAUGGCUCUGGUUAAUACCUGGGGUCGAUGACGGUACCGGAAGAAUAAGGACCGGCUAACUACGUG
rnacentral:rRNA from 1 species